ACAGCAACUCCAGGUCUGCUCCAGGUCAAACUGCCUCCGGGGCAGGCCGAACCCUCCCUUCCACUGUUAAGGGGUGUUAACUGGAGACAGGCCGGAUGUCUGACACCAACACAGGAAGUAAGAAUCUGAACGCACGCCAGCCCUAACGUCACCCCCAAGCCACAGCAAGUGGCUGGCACUCACCUGAAGGCAAAACCGCAGUGGACAGACCAUCUUGUGACCCCAGACACCUCGAUCUCUCCUGGAUGCAGUCACCUCCCCAGGUGUUUACAGAAACACAUGCAGCAUUGUGAAUUUAUAGCCAUGUAUGUACAGUCUUGUGCAUAUACAGUGUCAAUGUAUAGUCUUGCCCUUGAAGCUCCACGCAACAGAGCAUGAAAUGAAACUGUUGCACCCUAUUUCUGAGAGAAAGGGACCCCAGCGGCCGCUCUGGUUUUACCAGUAGUCAACCUGAAGGCAACUUAUUCUUGAGACUAGGAAAGGCCAAAACUGCAUAGCUGCUUUCAAGGGCUAGAAAGGUUGAGUUCUUCUGUUUCCUGGGCCUCUACUCGUUUGUCUUAUGACUACUAGGAAAUGAAGAUUGCAGUCCAUCUGUAUCAGCUCUGAAGAGAUUCCCAGAUCCAGCACUGAAGAGCACCCUCAUCUGAUAGAGCCAUUUGUUAGAUUUCCUUCUUUGCCUACUUGACUAUGCAACUAAAAAAACUCAAAUCACAUCUCCUCUCUGCCACAUACAUCGGUCAUCCCCAACUGCCACCCCAGGGACCAAAAGGGUCUGCCCCAUGCUGAGCUCAACACACAUGUCCACUUUCCCCUCCAACCAUCCCCUCUCCUUCUCAUUAGACAUGUUCAUCCCUCUGACUCUGCCACCACCAUCCAAGGAGAAACGAUUUCUGCUUUUAAAUUGAGAUAUUUUUAACUAAUAACCCCAGUAGUUUCUGUUAAUUCUGUUUAGUCUGCACGGAAUGAUUUAGAAUAAGAUAAUAGCAAUUUCAAUGGAAUCCAACCUAUUCUUUUCUUUCUGUCACUCCCCUGUCACAGAAACAAAGCUCUUUGUCUACAUCCUCCCUGUAUGCAUCCCUCCGUUGCAUACUCUCUGCUGUCUUUGUCUUUUUGCCUCCCUUUACAUCCAGUUUUCUGUAUUUCUGCAUCUUCCUAUCCAUUCCCUUUCUCCCCCUUACCCCCAGCCCCAUGCCCCACAUUCCUUUUAUCCAGAUCUGUGCCUCUAACCACCCGUGUUCUUCCUUGGUAAUCCAGAUAAUGGAGAGACUAGAGAGGGUUUAUGUUUAUACUGUACUGUAAAGGGCUGGGCUGGAGGGAUGUCUCAGUGGUUAAGGACUUGCCUACCAUUCAUGAGACACCUCCCCCCCCCAACACACACAGACACACAGUUCAAUCCCUAGCACUGGAACAAAAAGGAAAGGCCAACCACCGCUUCCUUCUCACAACUGCAUUUUUUGAUGGACACCUGCCAGCCUUGGUCCUUUCCUCCUUGGGUCAGUAAAGGCUUUUUCUUUGCCUGUUGCCUAAGUUUCACUGUUACGUCCCACAUGUGCAUUCAUUCUCCUGCUCUUGGUGGGGGUGCCCAUCUUAUCCAGACCUGGAAGAGCCUCUCUGCAUGCACUCUCCUUUCACACCUUUGCCCAAUGGUUUAAUCUCAGCUGCAAAAGCCUGCAGUCCAGUGAGCUGGGCAGGGAAGGGCACUGGAAACUCAAACCUCACUUAAGUUCAUCCAUGCUCAUAUAACAAAUAAAAGUUGUUUCCAGUUGCUUUGUUAAAAAACAAAAACAAAAAAAAAAACCUCAAAUCAUAUUAACCCCUUAGGGUUCUCUGUGCCCACCCCUGCCACUACUCAGUAUAGACUUGCGUUGCUUGGACUUCUAGACCAAUUCUUAGCUGGGACGGCCAUUUUCUAAUGUCCACACCAAGAAGGGCAUGCAGCAGGUACAACGACCUAGACAUCUGUGUUUCUCUAAGCUUCAUAUGGUGAGAGGCAUCUUUUGUUGUGAUUAUAGUAAGUAAGGUUUGUCAUGGAUGGUGAUGAGAUAUGAAGGUGUCACCCCUGUGAAUGCUGUUGUGACCAUAUAGAAGAUUCCAGAAGACCUUGUUGGCCCCUUCAGCUGGCGGCCACACAGCUGGAAAGAAUCACCUGUGGUGCCAGGAGUCUAUCCAGACCAGCCAGCAAUGGGAUCAUACAGUUCCCAUUGUUUGUAAACUAUCAGCGCAGUUUGACAUGACAACAGACCUUAGGGAGACAUUAACUGAAGAAGCAUCUCCAGAGUAUGUGACAUUCCCAGACAUGUCCUGCCUCUUUAAAGAUGUUUACCAAGUCCUUGCUCCUUACAAAAUGAAACUGAAAUGACUCAGCUCCUCAAGGCCCAUGUUGUUUGCUUAGGUUCUCACCAGCCUUGUCCAGGUUCCUCACUACCCUUCAUCUUCACAUCACAUGGAACACAGUAUUCUCAUGGAUUCUGUGGCCUCUCAUGAUCAUAGCAUAGGCUAGAAAGCUCUCCAUUCUUCAGUUUCUGGCAACAUGGCCAUGUCCUUCAAUAUCCCUUGUCCUGAAGAAUUAUGUUUUCCUCCAUCAGGGUCUUUCAUUUAUCACAAAAUGUCACAAUGGGUCCUUUGUCUCCUGAGUUGCAAGGCUUUUAGGGUCAGGAAAUUGUGACUUAUUCAUCUCAUUGACUGAAUAACAUUUUACAAUGUAGUCCUUAGAUGUCCCUCGUCAGAUUUAUCUAGGAUCCUGAUCAGCUAUAGACACCCUGGCUGAACUGUGGAACUGCUGGAUCUAUUUGUGUGGGGAGCAGAUACUCUUGGGCAGUUCCCAUAGGUUGGAGAACACAUCUAUGGUAUCUAGCAAAUAUUUGAUAAAUAAAAAAAACAUGAUUGAAACUACUAAGAUCUCUACUAAAAAGCUGCCCUCUUUUCCCCUGUCUGGGGUAGUAUCUCAUCACGUGACAGACCCAGGUAUUUGGCUCCACAUAGAUCAAAGUGGCUUUGUGGGAAACACUCUGUGUUAUUCUCUAACUGAAGUCAUGCCAAGUUCCUAUUGUCCUGUCUAAAUGCCAAAUUGCAUUUAGGGUCACUUAGAGUCGGGAAGAUGGCUGACUGUGAUAAGGACUCAGACAUUCUUGUUCAAGUGGGAAACUGGUAUUUGUGAGCAUACUCUAGAUUUUUAGCUCAGCAAAGCCAUGUUCUUAAGUAGUUCACAAGGGUCUUCUAAUGAGCAAUCAGCUCUCUUUACUGUGCUUAUCAGCAAUGAGGAUAACUCUACUCAGGUUAAUAGUCCUUUGCUGGUGACUCUGGGUAGACUGUAAAUAGGCCUUGGAGAGCUUUUCAGGUUGUAGGUGAGGCCUGUGAGCAACUGUGAGGAUGGACAAGGCAUGGCCACACAGCAUCUCCAACGCCUUUUGAAAUAUGCCUUUAAUGUUGUCCUCUAUCAUCACUAUGAGAUAUGUUGUAAAAUGCACCAUGUCAAGAAACAUCCUAAAACUUGGGUUAUCCAAAAGACCUGGGAGGACACAAAGGAUACUUAAAAGACUGGUUUGUUAGCAAAAGAGCAACUAUUUUAAAAGGCAAUACUGGGUCAACACACCUACCUCUGGCUAUAAAACCAAAGGACUUGACAUCACUAGGAUAAAGAGUCGUGUGUGCUCCCAAAUUCAUGUAAUAUAAUUCACAAUAGUCAAAGCAUAGCACCUUCCCAAGAGUCAUCAGUGGUUGAACAGAUGGAGGAAAAGUGGUACCUAUGCACUGUGUCGUAGUAACAAACCUAGAAGGAGAAGGAGUCUUUCUUUUAUGAUGACACAAAUGGAGAACAUUAUGACAGUGAAAUAAGCCAGGCAUGGGCCAAGAAAACACCCAUUCUCAUUUAUAUGUAUUGAACUUUGAGGAACAAAGUCAAAUUGUGCUUAUCGGGGCUGGAGAUAUUGUCCAAAGACCAGAAAGUCAUAACAGGAAAAACAAGUAAAUAUAGUAAAUAUUCAAGGUGAUUGAUAUCGUAA